CGGAAUCAAGAAUGUGGAAACAUCUUUAAUUUUCUCCCCAAAAUCCUUUCUACCGAGAUCUGCUUCUGCCAACUUAACCGUGUAUUUUCAUGGCAGAGCCCACAACCUUCUGGAGGUGGACCUUCGUGUUGAAAAUGCUGAACCAUUUUUGAAGAGCAUCUUUGGCCAGCAGCAGACAGAGAGAGAAAACACAACUCAAAGUGGAAAGCACGAGGCCAGGAGGACAAAGAGAAAGAUGGACGAUGGGCGUAGAGGAGAAAAAGAGACGUGUUUAUCGAGCACUGACAGCUACCUGAACCAGGCCCGAGCAAUGCUGUUUGGAAGAAAGAAAAUGGAUGAGAACAUGCCCAACUGCUGGGUCGGUGUGAAGGUGUUUGGGAAUGAGCUCAGCAUGUUCACAUGUGAAGAUCUCUACAAUCAAAUCAACCAG
ensembl:lncRNA